AUUGAACGCUGGCGGCAUGGCUAAAGCAUGCAAGUCGAACGGACCCGCAAGGGUCAGUGGCGAAAGGGUCAGUAAUACGAUCGAACGUACCCUGAGGUGUGGGAUAGCCGCGGGAAACUGCGGGUAAUACCACAUGUGCUCUACGGAGGAAGGCCGCAAGGCGCCUCGGGAGCGGCGAUCGUCCUAUCAGGUAGUUGGCGGGGUAACGGCCCACCAAGCCGAAGACGGGUAGCGGGUGNGAGAGCACGGCCCGCGACAUCGGGGACU
rnacentral:rRNA from 1 species